GGAGGUGGCAAGCGUUGUUCGGAAUUACUGGGCGUAAAGGGCGCGUAGGCGGCUAAGCAAGUCAGGUGUGAAAGCCCCGGGCUUAACUCGGGAAUUGCAUCUGAAACUGCCGUGCUUGAGUUCUGGAGGGGGUAGUGGAAUUCCCAGUGUAGCGGUGAAAUGCGUAGAUAUUGGGAGGAACACCUGCGGCGAAGGCGGCUACCUGGACAGAAACUGACGCUGAUGCGCGAAAGCUAGGGGAGCGAACGGGAUUAGAUACCCCGGUAGUCCUAGCCGUAAACGAUGGGCACUUGGUGUUGGGGGUAUUGAGUCCCUCAGUGCCGGAGUUAACACGUUAAGUGCCCCGCCUGGGGAGUACGGUCGCAAGACUGAA
rnacentral:rRNA from 1 species